rnacentral:rRNA from 1 species
GAUGAACGCUGGCGGCGUGCCUAACACAUGUAAGUCGAACGUGAGGGCUUAGCAAUAGGCCUGAAAGUGGCGAACGGGUGAGUAACACGUGGGUAACCUACCCUUGAGUGGGGGAUAACGACUGGAAACGGUCGCUAAUACCGCAUACGACCUUCAGUGCGAGAGCACAGAAGAUGAAAGAUUUAUUGCUCAAGGAGGGGCCCGCGUCCGAUUAGCUAGUUGGUGGGGUAAUGGCCUACCAAGGCGAUGAUCGGUAGCUGGUCUGAGAGGAUGAUCAGCCGCACGGGAACUGAGACACGGUCCCGACUCCUACGGGGGGCAGCAGUGAGGAAUAUUGCACAAUGGGCGAAAGCCUGAUGCAGCAACGCCGCGUGGAGGAUGAAGAUCUUUGGAUUGUAAACUCCUUUUCUGCGGGACGAGAGAGGACGGUACCACAGGAAUAAGUCACGGCUAACUACGUGCCAGCCGCCGCCGUAAUAC